GCAUAUCAAUAAGCGGAGGAAAAGAAACCAACAGGGAUUGCUCUAGUAACGGCGAGUGAAGCAGCAAUAGCUCAAAUUUGAAAUCUGGCGUCUUCGACGUCCGAGUUGUAAUUUGUAGAGGAUGCUUCUGAGUAACCACCGACCUAAGUUCCUUGGAACAGGACGUCAUAGAGGGUGAGAAUCCCGUAUGCGGUCGGAAAGGUGCUCUAUACGUAGCUCCUUCGACGAGUCGAGUUGUUUGGGAAUGCAGCUCUAAAUGGGAGGUAAAUUUCUUCUAAAGCUAAAUAUUGGCCAGAGACCGAUAGCGCACAAGUAGAGUGAUCGAAAGAUGAAAAGCACUUUGGAAAGAGAGUUAAAAAGCACGUGAAAUUGUUAAAAGGGAAGGGAUUGCAACCAGACUUGCUCGCGGUGUUCCGCCGGUCUUCUGACCGGUCUACUCGCCGCGUUGCAGGCCAGCAUCGUCUGGUGCCGCUGGAUAAGACUUGAGGAAUGUAGCUCCCUCGGGAGUGUUAUAGCCUCUUGUGAUGCAGCGAGCGCCGGGCGAGGUCCGCGCUUCGGCUAGGAUGCUGGCGUAAUGGUCGUAAUCCGCCCGUCUUGAAACACGGACCAAGGAGUCUAACAUCUAUGCGAGUGUUCGGGUGUCAAACCCCUACGCGUAAUGAAAGUGAACGGAGGUGAGAACCGCAAGGUGCAUCAUCGACCGAUCCUGAUGUCUUCGGAUGGAUUUGAGUAAGAGCAUAGCUGUUGGGACCCGAAAGAUGGUGAACUAUGCCUGAAUAGGGUGAAGCCAGAGGAAACUCUGGUGGAGGCUCGCAGCGGUUCUGACGUGCAAAUCGAUCGUCAAAUUUGGGUAUAGGGGCGAAAGACUAAUCGAACCAUCUAGUAGCUGGUUCCUGCCGAA
rnacentral:rRNA from 1 species